CUCAGUUGGUUAGAGCACCACCUUGACAUGGUGGGGGUCGUUGGUUCGAGUCCAAUUGAACGCACCAUCAUUUU
rnacentral:tRNA from 3 species